GACGAACGCUGGCGGCGUGCUUAACACAUGCAAGUCGAACGAAGAGCGAUGGAAGCUUGCUUCUAUCAAUCUUAGUGGCGAACGGGUGAGUAACGCGUAAUCAACCUGCCCUUCAGAGGGGGACAACAGUUGGAAACGACUGCUAAUACCGCAUACGAUCUAAUCUCGGCAUCGAGGAUAGAUGAAAGGUGGCCUCUACAUGUAGCUAUCAAUGAAGGAGGGGAUUGCGGCUGAUUAGCUAGGUGGAGGGGUAACGGCCCACCAAGGCGAUGAUCAGUAGCCGGUCUGAGAGGAUGAACGGCCACAUUGGGACUGAGACACGGCCCAGACUCCUACGGGAGGCAGCAGUGGGGAAUCUUCCGCAAUGGACGAAAGUCUGACGGAGCAACGCCGCGUGAGUGAUGACGGCCUUCGGGUUGUAAAGCUCUGUUAAUCGGGACGAAAGGCCUUCUUGCGAAUAGUGAGAAGGAUUGACGGUACCGGAAUAGAAAGCCACGGCUAACUACGUG
rnacentral:rRNA from 1 species